CACGUAGGGGGCGAGCGUUGUCCGGAUUUAUUGGGCGUAAAGAGCUCGUAGGCGGUUUGGCAAGUCGGGUGUGAAAUUUCGAGGCUCAACCUCGAAACGCCACUCGAUACUGCCAUGACUGGAGUCCGGUAGAGGAGUGCGGAAUUCCUGGUGUAGCGGUGAAAUGCGCAGAUAUCAGGAGGAACACCAACGGCGAAGGCAGCACUCUGGGCCGGUACUGACGCUGAGGAGCGAAAGCGUGGGGAGUAGACAGG
rnacentral:rRNA from 1 species